rnacentral:rRNA from 1 species
CCAAUAGCGUAUAUUAAAGUUGUUGCAGUUAAAAAGCUCGUAGUUGAAUUUCGGGAUCAAAGGAUCGGUCAUGCCUUGGUAUGUACUGGUUUUAUUGGUUCUCACCUUCUAAAGAACCAUAAUGUCAUUCAUUUGAUGUUAUGGGGAAUUAGGACUGUUACCUUGAAAAAAUUAGAGUGUUUAAAGCAGGCUUACGCUUGAAUACAUUAGCAUGGAAUAAUGAAAUAGGACAUCAGAUUCUAUUUUGUUGGUUUCUAGGAUCGAUGUAAUGAUUAAUAGGGAUAGUUGGGGGCAUUAGUAUUCAAUUGUCAGAGGUGAAAUUCUUGGAUUUAUUGAAGACUAACUACUGCGAAAGCAUUUGCCAAGGAUGUUUUCAUUAAUCAAGAACGAAAGUUAGGGGAUCGAAGACGAUCAGAUACCGUCGUAGUCUUAACCAUAAACUAUGCCGACUAGGGAUCGGAUGAUGUUAAUUUUAUAAUGACUCAUUCGGCACCUUACGGGAAACCAAAGUGUUUGGUUC